rnacentral:lncRNA from 1 species
AGGUGAAAGAUCUUGAUACCACACAGGUAUAAUUACAAUCUGCAAACCUACUCAAGGGGAGUUGCAGGUGAAGAUAAGGAAGUCAGCCUCAUUCCAUUACCUAAUCAGAUUCUCAGCCAAAGACAAACAGCAACAUAUGGGACUUUAAGGGUCUUGCUCUGUCACCCAGGCUGGAGUUCACUGGCAUGAUCAUGGCUCACUGCAGCCUCCAUCUCCUGGACUCAGAGACGGAGCUUCACCAUGUUGCCCAGGCUGGUCUUGAACAUCUGGACUCAAGUUAUCUGUCACCUUGGCCUCCCAAAGUGCUGGGAUUACAGGCAUGAGCCACAGCACCUUGCUUAUUCUUUUGUUUGCUAUUAAAAUAUAAGCAUUUUCUAGUCAAUAAAAAUUAACCAAGAACAUAA